UCAGCCCUGACCCUGCUCUCUUCCGCCUAAAGUCAAACCGCAGUCGCCUUUGCCAGGGUUUACCUUGGCACCUGCCCCCUACGAUCUCCGUCAUCAAAUAACAUUAAUGUCGCACGACCGCUGUGCCCCAUGACUCAACACCUUGAAUGUCACGGCCUUAGGCUCGGACCAGGUGAACGCUUGUCGCUGGGGGCACUUUCCAGCGGGGAGAGACUUGUCUUCGCAAACUUAAUCCUAUGGAAGACCGGAGACUGUCUUGGGAUGCGCACAGGCCUUUCUUUGCUCGGAUAAUCUUUCCUGGUCCCGCCUCCUCACUACAUACGCGGGCCGCCGCCGUUGGCUCAGUUGCGGGAUUUCGAAAUCACAUGCAUCCUUUGUACUACUGCUCACUUAGUGUGUUGUCACAGAUAAUGAAAGGUUAGUCACUGCUAAAAAGGAAGCGUUUUAAAAAAUUAAGAAUCUUCGGUUGUGUCAAGGGCUGAUGUGAUUCCUUGCGUCAAAGCUAAAGCUCUCCUUUUCUGUUUAUUUUCAGUCCUGUUGUUCCACUGUCUUCGUAAUCUAGGUCCUUAAAAGAAGUAAAAUCUUAUUACUCGCUGUUAUGCUACGCAAGGGCAACUCUAUCGUUUGUAAUCGGAAAACCCUUUCUCUGCUUUCUGAGAGAGUUUAUCCUUUGAUGGGUGUCUAUAAUUCCUUGAUGCCACUGGUCUGAGAGCUCAUUAUCCAUGGUUGCUAUAACUCUAAAUAUCUCCUCUGCUUUCAAAUAAGAAAGAAGUGGCAAAGGAUGAUCUUUCCUUACUUUUGUCCUUUUUACUAGCAUUGAAAGACCCUCAGAAGCUUCUUAGCAGAUUUCCAUAAACUCUCAUGGGCAGAACAGUGCCACGCUGGUAUCCUCAACAGCAAAGGAGUCUGGGAAAGAACUCUUCAUGAUCUCACUCUCCUAAGAGUCCAUUCUGUGGAAGCAACUAAGCAAGGCACAGAUAUUCAGAGAAAAAUAAUGUGAUGAGAAAAUAUACCAAUUUUUUUCUUCAAACCUGGAGGUGUUAAAGAAGGGGUUUGGAAAGAGGAAAGAGCAUAAGACACUGGAGAAAUGUUCCUUAAGAGCACCAUGUGUGUUCCCUUCUAUAAACAUAACCCAAAGCGGAAUAUUCUAUAAGGUGGGAUGGCCAAAGCCAAAUCAGCACUCCAGGCGAAAAUGACACUUCCUUCCUGGUUUUAGGAGACAGAACCCUGAAGUCCAUGUACUUUUAAACAUCUUUAAAGUGCAAUCACUUCUCAUACCUACUGAGCCUGAAGUGUGAUUUUGAGUUGUUUUUAGACAUAGAACGCAAGCUAUUACACCUGUGUGUUUACUGAACUUUUUAUAGAUGUGUAUUUUCUGAGCAGCCACUGAUACUGUCUUCCGUGAGUACACCCUGUUCUGUGCCUGGAAAAGGUUUGCUGCCUCUCUGUGGUUGCCUUAAAUGUCAAGGCUGCUGCGGUAGGCACAGCCCCUCCUCCCAUGGCGGGGCUGUGUGCAAACCCACUAGCAUUAAUAUAGAAGCAAAGUUCUUGGGGAACAGAAUUGAUAGUAAAAUGUCCUUUUAUGCAUAAACCUUGUCAGAACUCUGUCUGCUUUGACGCUGAGCUCACUCAGCUUUAAACAUGUAACACCAGUUAAUCACACAAUUGUUGGGAGAUGCAAAGUCGCUGUAUAAUUACUGAUGUUUUCAAAGGAAUUAGCUUGUAGUGACUAUGAACAACAUGUUCUGUUUUGUGGAAACUAUGCAAUUAACUUGUCCGAGGCUAAUAAAUUAAGUGUAGCAUAAGCUCAUAUAACAGCUGCUGGGAAGGAAGGGCUGGCUGGCAGUGCAUUUACUGAGAUCCCUUUGAACUUACUAGCCUCUAUUGUCAAUGCAGAGAUAGGUGUGUCCUGCUUUAAGGAAGUUAUGCACAGGACCACAUUGCUUAAAUAGAUAUUUUUGGAAGUUGGAAUAUACUGGGUUAGGGGAGAGUAAGUGAGGUCAGAAUGUAGGAGGAAAAAGAAGUGAAAAUCAUGCUAAAUUAUUAGACACCAAUUUGGAGCUGAAAUAGAAUAAAAUAUGUGACUCUAUACUGUGAAUCCACACUUGCAGAUGACACUUGCACAAAUAUAGUUGAAAAGUGAUUUAUCAGGAACACAUCUAUUGCAAUCAGAAAGACAUCUCUGUAUCACGGCCAGAAAGUUCUUGAUUACUUACAAGGGAUUAAAAGACUCUUUAACUCCUCUUUGAUGUCUUCUGCCCAUUCAGAUUUAAUUUAGGUAAUAAUUGGCCUAGAUUUGGUUGAAAAGAGGAAACAGUCCUCAAGUUCAUUGCUGCAAUGGGAAGUUGGAGAGGAUUCCGAAAGAGCUUACUGAUCACCUUUGGGCCUCUUAGAAUUCAGCUUUUGUUUGU